rfam:Gossypium hirsutum cultivar TM-1 chromosome 1, whole genome shotgun sequence
UUGAAAAUUUGAUGUUGGCACGGUUCAAUCAGAUCAAAUCUCUCAGUGACUGGCUGAGUCCUUUAAUCUGAUUGAGCCGUGCCAAUAUCAGAGUUAGUCAA